AUACUGUGUUUUGGUUGUUUAUGAAAUCCAAACGUCACUUCGUUCGUGAAAACGCUCACAAGACUUGACAAAGCAACAGAGAUAAUUUUCAAGAGAUAAUUUCGAGAAACAAUUUAUCUAAAUGUAACAUCCAUAAAGUAUCACUGUUUCGCUGUUGCAAGCGCCAUGGUCAAGGGCAUUCUGAAGACUGCGGGUAAGAUGUUAGGAACAGAGAAAUAUGUCUACCCUUUUUAGUCCAUUUUUAUGGGUUACCAUCAGAAGUCGCAUGAAAGUCGUUGUCAGAACUCGUUAAAUAUUAGAAUAUUAUUACAAUGUUUAUUAUUAUAAUGUAGCCGCGAAAGUUUAAAAUAAUUGAUAGCCUUUAAACCUAUUAUAAAAUUUGUAAUCACUGGACUGGACGUUGAGUUUGUAAUAUGUAUAGGUACAUAUAUUUUGUAAUAAAAACUGAGUUGUAAAUUAA